UCGAGCGGACAGAUGGGAGCUUGCUCCCUGAUGUUAGCGGCGGACGGGUGAGUAACACGUGGGUAACCUGCCUGUAAGACUGGGAUAACUCCGGGAAACCGGGGCUAAUACCGGAUGCUUGUUUGAACCGCAUGGUUCAGACAUAAAAGGUGGCUUCGGCUACCACUUACAGAUGGACCCGCGGCGCAUUAGCUAGUUGGUGAGGUAACGGCUCACCAAGGCGACGAUGCGUAGCCGACCUGAGAGGGUGAUCGGCCACACUGGGACUGAGACACGGCCCAGACUCCUACGGGAGGCAGCAGUAGGGAAUCUUCCGCAAUGGACGAAAGUCUGACGGAGCAACGCCGCGUGAGUGAUGAAGGUUUUCGGAUCGUAAAGCUCUGUUGUUAGGGAAGAACAAGUGCCGUUCAAAUAGGGCGGCACCUUGACGGUACCUAACCAGAAAGCCACGGCUAACUACGUGCCAGCAGCCGCGGUAAUACGUAGGUGGCAAGCGUUGUCCGGAAUUAUUGGGCGUAAAGGGCUCGCAGGCGGUUUCUUAAGUCUGAUGUGAAAGCCCCCGGCUCAACCGGGGAGGGUCAUUGGAAACUGGGGAACUUGAGUGCAGAAGAGGAGAGUGGAAUUCCACGUGUAGCGGUGAAAUGCGUAGAGAUGUGGAGGAACACCAGUGGCGAAGGCGACUCUCUGGUCUGUAACUGACGCUGAGGAGCGAAAGCGUGGGGAGCGAACAGGAUUAGAUACCCUGGUAGUCCACGCCGUAAACGAUGAGUGCUAAGUGUUAGGGGGUUUCCGCCCCUUAGUGCUGCAGCUAACGCAUUAAGCACUCCGCCUGGGGAGUACGGUCGCAAGACUGAAACUCAAA
rnacentral:rRNA from 1 species